GAUGAACGCUGGCGGCGUGCCUAAUACAUGCAAGUCGAGCGAACAGACGAGGAGCUUGCUCCUCUGACGUUAGCGGCGGACGGGUGAGUAACACGUGGAUAACCUACCUAUAAGACUGGGAUAACUUCGGGAAACCGGAGCUAAUACCGGAUAAUAUAUUGAACCGCAUGGUUCAAUAGUGAAAGACGGUUUUACUGUCACUUAUAGAUGGAUCCGCGCCGCAUUAGCUAGUUGGUAAGGUAACGGCUUACCAAGGCAACGAGGCGUAGCCGACCUGAGAGGGUGAUCGGCCACACUGGAACUGAGACACGGUCCAGACUCCUACGGGAGGCAGCAGUAGGGAAUCUUCCGCAAUGGGCGAAAGCCUGACGGAGCAACGCCGCGUGAGUGAUGAAGGUCUUCGGAUCGUAAAACUCUGUUAUUAGGGAAGAACAAAUGUGUAAGUAACUAUGCACGUCUUGACGGUACCUAAUCAGAAAGCCACGGCUAACUACGUG
rnacentral:rRNA from 1 species